rnacentral:rRNA from 1 species
AUGAUAACUAAGUGUUGCACGUAGGUGCAGUGCUAAAGCUAACGCAUUAAGUUAUCCACCUGAGGAGUACGGUCGCAAGAUUAAAACUCAAAGGAAUAGACGGGGACCCACACAAGCAGUGGAUCACGUGGUUUAAUUCGACAAUAAACGGGGAAUCUCACCUAGGCUUGACAUCCCGAGAACCCCCUGGAAACAGGGGGGUGCCCGUAAGGGAGCUCGGUGACAGGUGCUGCAUGGUUGUCGUCAGCUCGUGCCUUGAGGUGUUCGGUUAAGUCCGUUAACGAGCGCAACCCAUGUCCUUAGUUACUAUGUCUAAGGAGACUGCCUUGGUUAACAAGGAGGAAGGUGUGGAUGACGUCAAAUCAGCAUGGCUUUUACGCCUAGGGCUACACACAUGAUACAAUGGUCUGUACAAAGAGCAGCAAUACCGCGAGGUGGAGCCAAUCUUCAAAGCAGAUCUCAGUCCGGAUUGGAGUCUGAAACUCGACUCCAUGAAGUUGGAAUUGCUAGUAAUCGUGAAUCAGAUAUGUCACGGUGAAUAUGUUCCUGGGUCUUGUACUCACCGCCCGUCACGGCAUGGGAGGUAGUAAUAUCGGAAGCUCCUCUAGUAAUAUGGGGGUCCAUGGUAGGACUACUGACUGGGCUGAAGUCGUAACAAGGUAACCAAGGGCGAA